rnacentral:sRNA from 1 species
UACAUGUUAUUAUAAAUUUUAUUCUUUACAGUGAGCAUGUUUCAGGUAGUUGUGGUUGUCACGUGAUGUAGGAUAUAUUGUCCACAAGUUUCUUUUUUUCUUUUUUCUUUUUUUUUUUGACACAGUCUCACUCUGUCACCCAGGCUGGAGUGCAGUGGCAUGGUCUCAGCUCACUACAACUUCCGCCUUCUGGGUUCGAGCAAUUCUUGUGCCUCAGCCUCCCGAGUAGGUGGGAUUACAGGGAUGUGCCACCACAUCCAGCUAAGUUUUGUAUUUUUAGUAGAGAUGGUUUCACCAUGUUGCCAGGCUGGUCUUGAACUCCUCACCUCAAGUGAUACACCCAGUUCGGCCUCCCAAAGUGUUGUGAUUACAGGCAUGAGCCACCAUACUGAGCCCACAAGUUUCAUUUUGAAGUAGUCCAGGGGCCUUGGUUCUGAAAGGGGUGAGGACUGUGGAUCAAAUAGUGAUGGUUUUAAAUGGGAGGGAAUAAAGUCUGCAAAAUUUCCCCAGAUUAUUUUGAAGAGCUCCUCUCCUCCCCACCCCUCCUAUCCUACUUUCUACAGCCUGGUCUAGGGGCAGGAAAUCUGGAAGAAGAUUCUCGGGGGAGGGCCCCAGAACUCAGCUCCCCAGUUAAUGGCUGAUGGAAUUUGCACAACAGCUGGGCAAAGGUGAAAGGGUGGUGCCCUGCCCCAAAUUCCUUAUACCUUUGCUCCGCUUCAUUGACACCCCCACCCUCUCCCCACCUUCUCCCCACCCCAGGCUUCACCCAAACUCUGACCUCUUACUCUCUCUACUUAACUCUGGUCCCGGGCAGCCAAGACAAAGCGAAAGGCAAGGCAGCAUGAGCCGAUCACCCCUCAAUCCCAGCCAACUCCGAUCAGUGGGCUCCCAGGAUGCCCUGGCCCCCUUGCCUCCACCUGCUCCCCAGAAUCCCUCCACCCACUCUUGGGACCCUUUGUGUGGAUCUCUGCCUUGGGGCCUCAGCUGUCUUCUGGCUCUGCAGGUAGGAGGCAGAGGUGCAGGAGUUGGUGCUGCCUGAUGGUGCGUGUGGGGAAGUAGGUGUAGAUGUGGCAUGUGAAAGCCUCUGGAAGUAUUGUAGGUAUUUCCACUUCUCUGAAGACUGCCCUCCCCAUUCCUCCACCUGCAGCAUGUCUUGGUCAUGGCUUCUCUGCUCUGUGUCUCCCACCUGCUCCUGCUUUGCAGUCUCUCCCCAGGAGGACUCUCUUACUCCCCUUCUCAGCUCCUGGCCUCCAGCUUCUUUUCAUGUGGUAUGUCUACCAUCCUGCAAACUUGGAUGGGCAGCAGGCUGCCUCUUGUCCAGGCUCCAUCCUUAGAGUUCCUUAUCCCUGCUCUGGUGCUGACCAGCCAGAAGCUACCCCUGGCCAUCCAGACACCUGGAAACUCCUCCCUCAUGCUGCAACUGUGUAGGGGACCUAGCUGCCAUGGCCUGGGGCACUGGAACACUUCUCUCCAGGAGGGUUAUCCUGCUCAUGGUGGUCUGUUCUCAGCACCUGGGCUCCUGCCAGUUUCAUGUGUGCCCCUGGAGGCGAGCUUCAACAUCAUCAACUCACACUCCUCUCCCUGUCUUCCGGCUCCUUUCGGUGCUGAUCCCAGUGGCCUGUGUGUGGAUUGUUUCUGCCUUUGUGGGAUUCAGUGUUAUCCCCCAGGAACUGUCUGCCCCCACCAAGGCACCAUGGAUUUGGCUGCCUCACCCAGGCUGGAUCUCAGCAAGUGGCUCACUUAGUGGGGCUACUCUGCGUGGGGCUUGGACUCUCCCCCAGGUUGGCUCAGCUCCUCACCACCAUCCCACUGCCUGUGGUUGGUGGGGUGCUGGGGGUGACCCAGGCUGUGGUUUUGUCUGCUGGAUUCUCCAGCUUCUACCUGGCUGACAUAGACUCUGGGCGAAAUAUCUUCAUUGUGGGCUUCUCCAUCUUCAUGGCCUUGCUGCUGCCAAGAUGGUUUCGGGAAGCCCCAGUCCUGUUCAGCACAGGCUGGAGCCCCUUGGAUGUAUUACUGCACUCACUGCUGACACAGCCCAUCUUCCUGGCUGGACUCUCAGGCUUCCUACUAGAGAACACGAUUCCUGGCACACAGCUUGAGCGAGGCCUAGGUCAAGGGCUACCAUCUCCUUUCACUGCCCAAGAGGCUCGAAUGCCUCAGAAGCCCAGGGAGAAGGCUGCUCAAGUAUGGAAGAACUGGAGCAAGGCCUGUUGAUGCAGCCAUGGGCGUGGCUACAGCUUGCAGAGAACUCCCUCUUGGCCAAGGUUUUUAUCACCAAGCAGGGCUAUGCCUUGUUGGUUUCAGAUCUUCAACAGGUGUGGCAUGAACAGGUGGACACUAGUGUGGUCAGCCAGCGAGCCAAGGAGCUGAACAAGCGGCUCACUGCUCCUCCUGCAGCUUUCCUCUGUCAUUUGGAUAAUCUCCUUCGCCCAUUGUUGAAGGACGCUGCUCACCCUAGCGAAGCUACCUUCUCCUGUGAUUGUGUGGCAGAUGCACUGAUUCUACGGGUGCGAAGUGAGCUCUCUGGCCUCCCCUUCUAUUGGAAUUUCCACUGCAUCCUAGCUAAUCCUUCCCUGGUCUCCCAACAUUUGAUUCGUCCUCUGAUGGGCAUGAGUCUGGCAUUACAGUGCCAAGUGAGGGAGCUAGCAACGUUACUUCAUAUGAAAGACCUAGAGAUCCAAGACUACCAGGAGAGUGGGGCUACGCUGAUUCGAGAUCGAUUGAAGACAGAACCAUUUGAAGAAAAUUCCUUCUUGGAACAAUUUAUGAUAGAGUUAAAAGAUAUACCCAUCAAAACUGGAGACCCGGCAUAUUGGCCUAGAACUCUACACGCUGCAUUGGUCUCUUUUUAUCAUGAAACUGCCAGAGGCAUGCAGCAUUGGUGAUGGAAAGCCCUUUGUCAUGAAUCUGCAGAAUCUGUAUAUGGCAGUCACCAAACAAGAGGUCCAAGUGGGACAGAAGCAUCAAGGCACUGGAGAUCCUCAUACCUCAAACAGUGCUUCCCUGCAAGGAAUCGAUAGCCAAUGUGUAAACCAGCCAGAACAACUGGUCUCCUCAGCCCCAACCCUCUCAGCACCUGAGAAAGAGUCCACGGGUACUUCAGGCCCUCUGCAGAGACCUCAGCUGUCAAAGGUCAAGAGGAAGAAGCCAAGGGGUCUCUUCAGUUAAUCUGUUGUGGCCUCAGCUGCUGAGGAUGGACUUGGAGAAUAGCUUCCAAGCUUCACCUUGAAAGAAGCUUACGUGGCAGCAAUAUUUCUAAAAUAGUGAUACAGUCAGAGGCCUCCUGUAAGGGCGAGAGAACUGAAGUUCAUGUUGACAGGCCCACAGGGAAUUGGCCUUCCCUGUUCAAGUGGAAGCCAGUCUCUGAGAAUCCCGUGCUCUCCUCUCUUUUGGUGGAGGUUCUGUAGGUUCAGGUUUCUAUCAUGGACUUUAGGUAUAUAGGGCAAGUCAGCAAGAAAGCACCACACACUCAGGAAGCCUUGUCUACCUUUCCCUAGCGUCUCUAGCCAGCCAGCCCCAGAUACUCCUCAGAGACCCACUUCUCUCUUUUGCAUGGAAUAAAAAGGACUCACAGUCCCUGCUUUUGGGAUUACUUAUGCUGUGGAACUCAUAACCCAAUUCACUUCCUUCACUGGGUCCCACCCCAUUGUUGUCUCUGGAUGAAGUCUAGCCAUCACUCCGGUCCUUCAGAUUCUUCAUAAACUUUUCUGCAGUUGCCAGAGCUAAGUCUCCAUUUGGAAACUUCGAUCUCAAGAACUCUCUUGAUGGUGGGCACAAGACAGAUAGAUGAUUGCUGCUUUCCUUUGCCAAACUUGGAUGCAUUUUUCUCUUUGUUUCCAAAGUAUAGGCAACAGGUUAAACUACCACGUGGGGUAGUUUAUCGAUCCUCCCGCCUCAUCCUUCUGCAUAACUGGGACUAAAGGCACACACCACCACACCUAGCUAAUUUUUGUAUUUUUGUGUGUGUGGAGACAAGGCUUUGCCAUGUUGCCCAGGCUGGUCUUGAACUCCUGGACUCUAGUGAUCUGCCCACCUCAACCUCCCCAAGUGCUGGGAUUACAGGCAUGAGCUACCAAGCCUAUCCCAUUUCUGGUUUAUUUACUUUUGAUGGUUAAAUGCCUCCUUAUUCAAAUAUCCUGUAUAUAUACUGGUGUUUCUGUCCUGAUGUCAAGUCUCGAGAGAAGAUGAUCAAACAAUAAUAAAAUAAUUAUAAUAAGAAC